rnacentral:rRNA from 1 species
UCGUCGGCAGCGUCAGAUGUGUAUAAGAGACAGGAUCAAGCGUUUUCGCGCCGAAAAUGACCGGAACUAAGUUUUUUGCCGAAGCUGUGGCUACAUCACAUAGAUGAUGUAGGGUAGAGGAGCGUUCCGCCCAGGGGGAAGCCAAGCGCGUAAGCCGCGGUGGACAGGGCGGAAGUGAGAAUGUCAGCUUGAGUAACGCAAACAUUGGUGAGAAUCCAGUGCCCCGAAAACUCAAGGGUUCCUGCGCAAGGCUCGUCCGCGCAGGGUCAGUCAGGACCUAAGGUGAGGCCGAAAGGCGUAAUUGAUGGCAAGAAGGUUUAUAUUCCUUCACUAAUCUAGGCUUAGUCCUGAGGGACGAACAAAUAACACUCGGCACAACGGCCACACUUGGCAGUAUGGAUAAACCCGUUGCUGUUUGAUGCUAUUUAUUCCAAGAAAAGCUCAUUCGACUUUGAGUCUAGAUUACCUGUACCGUAAACCGACACAGGUGAGUGGGUUGAAUAAACUAAGGGGAGCGAGAUAACUCUCUCUAAGGAACUCGGCAAAUUGGCUCUGUACCUUCGGAAGAAAGAGUGCCCUGUAAAGGGCCGCAGUGAAGAGAUCCAGGCGACUGUUUACCAAAAACACAGGUCUCCGCAAAGUCGUAAGACGACGUAUGGGGGCUGACACCUGCCCAGUGCCAGAAGGUUAAAGAAGUUGGUCAAUCUUUGAUGAAGCUAACAACUGAAGCCCUGGUGAACGGCGGCAGUAACUAUAACUGUCCUAAGGUAGCGAAAUUCCUUGUCGGGUAAGUUCCGACCCGCACGAAAGGUGUAACGAUCUGCGUACUGUCUCGGAGAGAGACUCGGCGAAAUAGACAUGUCUGUGAAGAUGCGGACUACCUGCACCUGGACAGAAAGACCCUAUGAAGCUUUACUGUAGCUUGAGAUUGAUUUCAAAUUCUAUUUGCGUAGGAUAGGUGGGAGAUAGUGAAGAUAUUUUUCUGGAAAUAUUCGAAUCAUCCUUGAAAUACCACCCUAAUAUAAUGAGAAAUCUAACUUUUUACCAUUAUCUGGUUGAAGAACAGUUUCAGGUGGUCAGUUUGACUGGGGCGGUCGCCUCCUAAAAGGUAACGGAGGCGUGCAAAGGUUUCCUCAGACUGGUCGGAAAUCAGUCGUAGAGUGUAAAGG